rnacentral:rRNA from 1 species
CCUACGGGCGGCAGCAGUGGGGAAUAUUGGACAAUGGGCGAAAGCCUGAUCCAGCCAUGCCGCGUGUGUGAAGAAGGCCUUCGGGUUGUAAAGCACUUUCAGUGGGGAAGAAAGCCUUGGGGCUAAUACCCUCGAGGAAGGACAUCACCCACAGAAGAAGCACCGGCUAACUCCGUGCCAGCAGCCGCGGUAAUACGGAGGGUGCGAGCGUUAAUCGGAAUUACUGGGCGUAAAGCGCGCGUAGGCGGUCUGAUAAGCCGGUUGUGAAAGCCCCGGGCUCAACCUGGGAACGGCAUCCGGAACUGUCAGGCUAGAGUGCAGGAGAGGAGGGUAGAAUUCCCGGUGUAGCGGUGAAAUGCGUAGAGAUCGGGAGGAAUACCAGUGGCGAAGGCGGCCUUCUGGACUGACACUGACGCUGAGGUGCGAAAGCGUGGGUAGCAAACAGGAUUAGAUACCCCAGUAGUC